rnacentral:rRNA from 1 species
ACGAGAAGACCCUAUAAAUCUUUAUAUUUAGAUUAUUAUAAUUUUAUAGAUUUUUUUUGUUGUAAUAAUCAAUGAUAUUUUAUUGGGGUGAUAUUAAAAUUUAAUAAACUUUUAAUUGUUAAAAUCAUUAAUUUAUGAAUAAUUGAUCCGUUAUUAGCGAUUAAAAAAAUAAGUUACUUUAGGGAUAACAGCGUAAUUUUUUUGGAGAGUUCAUAUCGAAAAAAAGAUUGCGACCUCGAUGUUGGAUUAA